rnacentral:misc_RNA from 3 species
AACGCACAUUGCGCCCGCUAGUAUUCUGGCGGGCAUGCCUGUUCGAGCGUCAUUUCAACCAUCAAGCCCCAGGCUUGCGUUGGGUCCCUGCGGCUGCCCGCAGGCCCUGAAAUACAGUGGCGGGCUCGCUAGUCACUCCGAGCGCAGUAAUACAUCUCGCUCAGGGCGUGCGGCGGGUGCCGGCCGUGAAACAACCCCCUUCUAAAGUUUGACCUCGGAUCAGGUAGGAAUACCCGCUGAACUUAA